GCUCUUCCGCUCUCUUUUGAAUGAUCUAGUAGUCAUCAUAGAUAAAAGACGUUUAUAAACCUCUUAUGUCUUUCAAAAGAAUAAGGUUGCUGCGUCAACCAACAUUAUUGUAAAAAAAGUCUAUCUCGAGGCUUUAAAAGGAGAGCUUCGUCACAAAU